GGGUUUUUUUUAAUGCCAACAAGCUACAUUUUCUCUUCCUCAUCAUUGAACUUUUGUUUUGCUGACUGGUUUGCAAUCUUAUGUGAAAACUCAGUCAGCACUGAUUGGACAGUGUUGUAUUGCUGUAUGCAUUAUACAACACAAGAACAUUUUGUUUACAGAGCACCACAGUACAGUAUUAUUGUUUUUGCUUAAUGUAUAUAGUGCAAGAACAUUUUGUUA